rnacentral:rRNA from 1 species
GAUGAAAGAGGGAGGCGUGCCUAAUACAUGCAAGUCGAGCGAACAGACGAGGAGCUUGCUCCUCUGACGUUAGCGGCGGACGGGUGAGUAACACGUGGAUAACCUACCUAUAAGACUGGGAUAACUUCGGGAAACCGGAGCUAAUACCGGAUAAUAUAUUGAACCGCAUGGUUCAAUAGUGAAAGACGGUUUUGCUGUCACUUAUAGAUGGAUCCGCGCCGCAUUAGCUAGUUGGUAAGGUAACGGCUUACCAAGGCAACGAUGCGUAGCCGACCUGAGAGGGUGAUCGGCCACACUGGAACUGCGACACGGUCCAGACUCCUACGGGAGGCAGCAGUAGGGAAUCUUCCGCAAUGGGCGAAAGCCUGACGGAGCAACGCCGCGUGAGUGAUGAAGGUCUUCGGAUCGUAAAACUCUGUUAUUAGGGAAGAACAAAUGUGUAAGUAACUAUGCACGUCUUGACGGUACCUAAUCAGAAAGCCACGGCUAACUACGUG